rnacentral:rRNA from 1 species
AAAGAUUAAGCCAUGCAUGUCUAAGCACAUGCCUUAAUACGGUGAAGCCGCGAAUAGCUCAUUACAACAGCCACCGUUUACUAGAAUAUAGUUAUCCUACUUGGAUAACUGUGGCAAUUCUAGAGCUAAUACAUGCAAAAAAGCUCUGCCCGCAAGGAACGAGCGCAUUUAUUAGAAUAAAAACCAAUCGGGUUUCGGCCCGUAAUUUGGUGAAUCUGAAUAACUUUGCCAAUCGCACAGUCCUAGUACUGGCGAUGUAUCUUUCAAGUAUCUGCCUUAUCAACUUUCGAUGGUAGGUUAUACGCCUACCAUGGUAGUAACGGGUAACGGAGAAUAAGGGUUCGACUCCGGAGAGGGAGCCUGGGAAACGGCUACCACAUCCAAGGAAGGCAGCAGGCGCGCAAAUUACCCACUUCCAGAACGGAGAGGUAGUGACGAAAAAUAACGAGACAGUCCUCUUCGAGGUCUGUCAUCGGAAUGGGUACAAUUUAAAUCCUUUAACGAGGAUCUAUUGGAGGGCAAGUCUGGUGCCAGCAGCCGCGGUAAUUCCAGCUCCAAUAGCGUAUAUUAAAGUUGUUGCGGUUAAAACGCUCGUAGUUGGAUCUGCGGCCUCGGAGAACGGUCCCCCGAAAGGGUGGUCACUGUCUCUCCUAGCCUAAAUUCGAGUCGUCUCUAGGUGCUCUUUACCGAGUGCUUAGAGUGACUAGAACGUUUACUUUGAAAAAAUUAGAGUGCUUAAAGCAGGCGAAAUAGCCUGAAUAAGGUGCAUGGAAUAAUGGAAUAGGACCUCGGUUCUAUUUUGUUGGUUUUCGGAACCCGAGGUAAUGAUUAAGAGGAACAGACGGGGGCAUUCGUAUUCCGGCGCUAGAGGUGAAAUUCUUGGACCGUAGAGAGACGCCCUACUGCGAAAGCAUUUGCCAAGAAUG